rnacentral:lncRNA from 1 species
AGAGCCGCGCACCAAGCCGAUGGCGGUGGACGCAGCAGGGCCCCGCGGUCUGAGUGCGGGCAGGCGCGCGUGGGCGUGUCUCCCUGGCCCACGCGUGUCCCCGGCAUCAGUGUCUCGGCUCUGGUCCAGGACGAAGACUUCUGAAAGCGAGCCAAGGAGAAUCACAGUUCUUAACGGAGCCCCUGACUGCCCGGUGGAAGGAGGUGAUUUAGAAGACAGUGAGGAUGUUUCUUGGCUUCAAACCAUUUGGAUAAGUGAUGGCAGCAAGCUUCGCCACUGUAAAGUCACCUCUUUGUAAGAAGACAGGAGCUCUUUGUAAAGAAUAUGAGACCUGAGGCUGGGGGAUGGCUGAGAAGGGAAAAGCACCUCUGCACAAGCGUGAGAAAAGGAGUUUGUUCUUCCACAUCCAUGUAGAAAUCUUGAUGCCGUGCCGUGAACCCCAGCUCUCCUACGGGAAGAUGGGAGGCGUAGACAGGAGUUCAUCUGGAAGCUUGAGGCCAGCCACCCAGAUCCUCAGAGCUGCAGACAAAAGAGAGGCCCUGCAGCAAAAGAGUGGAAGGUGAGAACCAACUCCGGAAAGUUGCCCUCUGACCUUUACAAGUGUAUACAUCCACACACAUACAAUAAAAUCAAUUGCUCAAUCACG